UACGUAGGGGGCAAGCGUUGUCCGGAAUCAUUGGGCGUAAAGCGCGUGUAGGCGGCCAGAAAAGUCCGCUGUGAAAACUCGAGGCUCAACUUCGAGCUGUCGGUGGAAACUUUCUGGCUAGAGUCCGGAAGAGGAGAAUGGAAUUCCUGGUGUAGCGGUGAAAUGCGCAGAUAUCAGGAAGAACACCCGUGGCUAAGGCGGCUCUCUAGUACGGUACUGACGCUGAGACGCGAAAGCGUGGGGAGCGAACGGG
rnacentral:rRNA from 1 species